GACGAACGCUGGCGGCGUGCUUAACACAUGCAAGUCGAACGGAAAGGCCCUGCUUUUGUGGGGUGCUCGAGUGGCGAACGGGUGAGUAACACGUGAGUAACCUGCCCUUGACUUUGGGAUAACUUCAGGAAACUGGGGCUAAUACCGGAUAGGAGCUCCUGCUGCAUGGUGGGGGUUGGAAAGUUUCGGCGGUUGGGGAUAGACUCGCGGCUUAUCAGCUUGUUGGUGGGGUAGUGGCUUACCAAGGCUUUGACGGGUAGCCGGCCUGAGAGGGUGACCGGCCACAUUGGGACUGAGAUACGGCCCAGACUCCUACGGGAGGCAGCAGUGGGGAAUAUUGCACAAUGGGCGGAAGCCUGAUGCAGCAACGCCGCGUGCGGGAUGACGGCCUUCGGGUUGUAAACCGCUUUCGCCUGUGACGAAGCGUGAGUGACGGUAAUGGGUAAAGAAGCACCGGCUAACUACGUGCCAGCAGCCGCGGUGAUACGUAGGGUGCGAGCGUUGUCCGGAUUUAUUGGGCGUAAAGGGCUCGUAGGUGGUUGAUCGCGUCGGAAGUGUAAUCUUGGGGCUUAACCCUGAGCGUGCUUUCGAUACGGGUUGACUUGAGGAAGGUAGGGGAGAAUGGAAUUCCUGGUGGAGCGGUGGAAUGCGCAGAUAUCAGGAGGAACACCAGUGGCGAAGGCGGUUCUCUGGGCCUUUCCUGACGCUGAGGAGCGAAAGCGUGGGGAGCGAACAGGCUUAGAUACCCUGGUAGUCCACGCUGUAAACGGUGGGUACUAGGUGUGGGGUCCAUUCCACGGGUUCCGUGCCGUAGCUAACGCUUUAAGUACCCCGCCUGGGGAGUACGGCCGCAAGGCUAAAACUCAAAGGAAUUGACGGGGCCCCGCACAAGCGGCGGAGCAUGCGGAUUAAUUCGAUGCAACGCGUAGAACCUUACCUGGGUUUGACAUGGAUCGGGAGUGCUCAGAGAUGGGUGUGCCUCUUUUGGGGUCGGUUCACAGGUGGUGCAUGGCUGUCGUCAGCUCGUGUCGUGAGAUGUUGGGUUAAGUCCCGCAACGAGCGCAACCCUUGUUCACUGUUGCCAGCACGUUAUGGUGGGGACUCAGUGGAGACCGCCGGGGUCAACUCGGAGGAAGGUGGGGAUGACGUCAAGUCAUCAUGCCCCUUAUGUCCAGGGCUUCACGCAUGCUACAAUGGCUGGUACAGAGAGUGGCGAGCCUGUGAGGGUGAGCGAAUCUCGGAAAGUCGGUCUCAGUUCGGAUUGGGGUCUGCAACUCGACCUCAUGAAGUCGGAGUCGCUAGUAAUCGCAGAUCAGCAACGCUGCGGUGAAUACGUUCCCGGGGCU
rnacentral:rRNA from 1 species